CUAUAUCUGAUAAAGUUUGAACCCAAAAUCUGCGAUUAACUGCAAAAGCUUCCUUGACAUCUUGAAUUUCACUAGCAUCCUUACCACAACGUUGUUCUAUCCAUCUAAUCCUUUCUGAGUACGCGUCAAAGCAAACCUCUGUCAAGGCCACUAAUUGUACUUCUAAAUUUGAAACGACAUUUCUUAGCACCCCUUUAUCCUUUAUUUUAAAAGUAUUCUCCACAUCCGAGGUUCCUUGAUGUGACUGGACAAGCGCUGACCGAGUAAGUUCAAACUGUCGACA